AGAGUUUGAUCAUGGCUCAGAUUGAACGCUGGCGGCAUGCUUUACACAUGCAAGUCGAGCGGCAGCGCGGGGCAACCCUGGCGGCGAGCGGCGGACGGGUGAGUAAUGCAUCGGAACGUAUCCCGUAGUGGGGGACAACCCAGCGAAAGCUGGGCUAAUACCGCAUAUGCUCUACGGAGGAAAGUGGGGGACCCGCAAGGGCCUCACGCUAUGGGAGCGGCCGAUGUCCGAUUAGCUAGUUGGUGGGUAAAGGCCCACCAAGGCGACGAUCGGUAGCUGGUCUGAGAGGAUGAUCAGCCACACUGGGACUGAGACACGGCCCAGACUCCUACGGGAGGCAGCAGUGGGGAAUUUGGACAAUGGGGGCAACCCUGAUCCAGCCAUGCCGCGUGCGGGAAGAAGGCCUUCGGGUUGUAAACCGCUUUUGGUCGGGAAGAAAAGGCGUCUCCUAAUACGGGGCGUUCUUGACGGUACCGGCAGAAUAAGCACCGGCUAACUACGUG
rnacentral:rRNA from 1 species